rnacentral:lncRNA from 1 species
UUCUCCCAGAAUCAUCCAGAACCGCAUCCUGCUCGUCCUCCUGGGAAUCAUCGUGGUCGUCACCAUCCUGACAGCGGUCACUUUUUUUGUCCGAGGACACUGAUGUAUCAGCUCUCCCUUGAUAAACAGCAACCGAGGCUUGUUCUGAGUAAUUAAGACAAAAUGGUCACAUGAAUCAUUCUUUUGCGCUGACAGGCCCUGGGUGACCCUCUCUCUCCCUCACCACUGUUCAGCUAAAGUGCAAAGAGUGUAAAAAUAUUUUCUAUUCCUGUUUGCAUGUGGGUUGGUUUCCUUUUCUAGAUUUGUCUUCACCCAGAUUUGCUUUUAUAGGCAAAGGUGAAUGUUUAUUUGCCUUUGGGUAAUGUCAUCUGUUGUCCAAAAUAACCUUGGUGACAGUCUUCCUUACCCUGCGGACAUGUGAGGGGUCAUGGUUUGGAAGAGGGCAUGAUGAGUCAGUCACGAGAGUUUCUGUCUGUCACGUAUCUCUUGUCACCAAAAAGUCCUUCUAUGAUGUCCAAGGAUAAAAAUGCAAAGAAAACCAGGGGCCAGGGCCAGGACCCAGCUCCUGCAAGCCAGCCCUGUCCCUUCUCAGGCUUAACAAAUACAGUCAACCUGCCUGAGCACUUUUAUUGCAAAGGAAGGUAUUUAAUGUCACUUGUACAGGAAAUUGACUUAGCACUUUCCCUGUUUUUCUAUUGCAUAAUUUUUUUAACCCAAGAAUAUUUUUGCUGAACCUGCCCAAUAUCUACUUUUCUCAACUUUGGUUACUAGCCACAAGAAAUAUUUCCCUGCCUUCCCCAAAUCACACUGACCCCCAGAAUUUGCUGGCAAAAGGAACCCUGGCACAGUAUUUAAUGGUGACCUCAUCUUCCCUGACCCGUGUAAGCAUCUCUGUAUCCUUUCAGUUUUAAUAUCUGCUCUGCCAAAAGCAGCCCUCAAACAUGCAAAAGGUCUGACAAGGUUCUCUCCACAUCCAUUCCAGUAUGUAAAGAGAACAUGAAUAUUUCAGUAAGAGCAAGAACAUGACUGUCGGUGUGAAAUUUCCAAUGUGGUUAUAAAUCUGGGGGAGUCCUAUAGGAGGAUCCACUAGAAAUAAACUUUGUGGAAAAUGUUCACUAACCUCCUUUCAAAGAAUGAGGGAUUGCGGAGAGUUACAAAAGGACCACUUGGGUUUUUUACCAACAAAUGUUAGUAAAGCCUUUCCUGAAUUCACUGUAUGCCAACCUCCAACAUGCUCUGUGAUUUUUCUUUCUCUCUGAGGUAACCGGGAAUUGCGUUCAAAAUGAGUUCAUUUGUGAUCGAGCUUAAAAGUUGCCCAAGCUGAGGUCAUUUUCCCCCUAGUCAUAAAGCAAAAUGUGUUUUUCUUAAGACUUCAUAGGCACUUAUGGGGUCCCUACUAUCUUUUGAAUAUAAUUGGACGCUUUGAAUCCUCGAAAAGCAAACCUGUUCUCCUCAUAAAACAUGCUAACCGCCUGUGCUCGUGGAUCAAGAUCAUCCGAAGGCGGCACUUGAUAUUUUUCCCCAAUUCGGAAGAGAGCUAUUAUUAGUUGGAGAGGAAAUGCAGACUUCACAACCCACCAGAGGAAUCGUAUUUAUCAAAACGGGCCAGGGCCUGCAUGUGUUCGGAUAAAUCAUUUAGUAUUGUGUAAAUAAAGCUGCAGCCUCCAUGUCAGGGAUGGGAUGGGAUUUUGGCUGAGCAAAGUAGGACAGCAAAGGAGCAGGAAGCUGUGCUGCUGUUCCUGUCAGCUCAAGGGACCCAUCUCAGCGAGGAUCUCUCAUCCUGACAUCCCAAUUCUGGAUGUUCCCAACACAUGGAAGAAACUAUUGAGAGCAAGGAAACACAACCCCUUCUCAUUCUGGAACAGGGAUCAUUGGGAAGUGCACGGACCCUUUGGUGACUCCACUUGACCUUAGUGAAGGGCGUGACCUGUCUGAGCUGCGCCUCCGCCCCCACCCUUCACACUCCGUGCACCCUGGCCACAGCCACCUAGCGAGCAAGAUUGAGCUGAUGACCUCUACUCGCUGGCUCCUAGGUAUUUCACUGAAUCCCUGUGUUCCUGUUGAAGCAGAUGAGAAAGAAGGAGCUCAUUCCCUGCUCACUUCUCAAUGUUUUUUCCCUACCAUGUCCUAUGUCUGUGAUUUUGCCCCAGAUCAAUCUUGGGAUUGAUAUAAACAGAGAACCCUCGACCUAUUAGCUCCACCAAACCCCCUCCAGAGCAACCACCUAGACCAGGCCAGCGAGCGCUUGGUGAGGAAGCUGGUGAAGGUCCCUUGUGCCCAUUCUUGGCCCUCCUGGAUGCUGCAAGGGAGACUCAAAGGGCCCCAAGGGAGGCCAGGUGCAUGCCCUCCCUCCUGCUACACUGGGGAAGGAAGACAGUCCACACGUUUGAAGCAGGUCAGGUUCUAGGCACCUAAUAUGUAGACUGUGAUUGUUGAAUAUUCCCAAAGUUGGCAGCCUUUGUUAAAAAUGAUGCUUGACGGGAGGGUGGAGGGGAGAUGAAGAUGAAGGCGUGGAGGAGGAAGAAGAGAAGGAAGCCCUGGCCAUAUAAAAUUCAUGCAGACUAAACAGUUUCCCUGGCAGAAUAAAUAAAGCGGAUGCUACCCUGCUCCAGAAUCAAAAGCAAUUUAAUUAAAGUCUCUUAAGUUGUAAAGAGUUUUAAAUGUUCCGUGUUGAAGGCGAAAGCCUACAAAUGCAGCCGGCUGACGUCAGCGGCCGGGCCUGGGCUGGGAGGCCAUUUGCUAUUCUGUUUCAGGCAGGCUGGAUUGUCUUAUUUUGGAACCAGCUUGGUGGGGGGUUUGCUUUGCUACUGCUUCUGAGCCCUGAGCUUCAAAGGCUGAAAUUAAUGGUGAACAAAAUUGUGCGGCUCUGGCCGUCCCAUGCGGGGCAGGCCCAUUGAGGGUUAUCAUUAAGUAAAGAAAUAAAGAGGGGGAAAAAGGCUGCCUGUUCCAAAAACCUCAUCAGAUAAUGACCUCGGUGAUUGGGUUUUCAUUACCAAACAGCAACCAGAGAUUACCAACCCGUGGAAGAAGGGGGGGGGGGAGAAAGAAAGGAAAAGCCACUGUCUUUCUCCCCCUCUCUCUCUCCGUUUUUUUUCCCUGCACAUCUUUUCUUUAAAACUGUCAGAUCAUUUCAGUAUUUCAAAUCCGAGGAAAACAGCCUGCCUGCUGCUGUAUUUGAAGUUGUAAUGGUGUCAAAAAGUCACGACUGACUGACAGCCGUCAGUCCCAGAGGGGCUCAUUAAAUCAUAAAAACUUGACAAGGAAAUAAUUG